rnacentral:rRNA from 1 species
UACGUAGGGUGCGAGCGUUGUCCGGAAUUACUGGGCGUAAAGAGCUCGUAGGUGGUUUGUCGCGUUGUUCGUGAAAUCUCACGGCUUAACUGUGAGCGUGCGGGCGAUACGGGCAGACUGGAGUACUGCAGGGGAGACUGGAAUUCCUGGUGUAGCGGUGGAAUGCGUAGAUAUCAGGAGGAACACCUGUGGCGAAGGCAGGUCUCUGGGCCGCAACUGACGCUGAGGAGCGAAAGCAUGGGGAGCGAACAGG